UAUGAUUUAGUAGUUUUGGCAUUUAUUUUACAUUUUACAUUGUAAGGAGAAAUAGUUUUACUUUAGAGUUGAUAUUUAGAUUUUUUACUUUGUACUUUAAUUAUUAUUAUUAUUUGGCAUUGUUUACUAAUUGAUUGUUAUCAUCAUUCAUCUAAAUUGUUAUCGUUAAUUAAAUUAUGAAAACCUUCCUUGCGUUUUAGCUAUGCCUAUCAGAACAUUAAGUCUAGCGAUAGACUGACCCCCUGUCCCUUGGUUCUAGCACAUACAAGUUAGCUCCCCCUUAUCUAACAGUGCUGUGGGACCUUGGUGACAGAUAUGGUGGAGGACCCGGGCAUGAUACAAAUGAAAUUCUGCAUAGCAUAGCUAGAAUGUAGGUUGGCAAAAUUCAUUCAAAAUUAUCUAAAACUUAAAUUUUCAAAAUUGAGACAACAGCAGGAGAGACAAUAAGAGGAAGAGAGAACCAGUAACAGCAGAGACAAGUUGCAGAUUCAACAACACACAACUAAAAGAUAAGUACAUCUUGCUUAUUAUAUUACGCUUUAACAUUUUAAGUGAAGAGUACAGAUGUAUGUUGAUUCUUGGUGUGAAUCUGUAAUUUUAUAAUAUUUGUCAACUUUACAGAAGUUAACGUUCAGUUCAGGAGAAACUUUAUUUUGCAAUUAAUUUUAUAUGAUUGGGAAAUUUGACUCAUAGUAGAGAGAAUAUAACAUAAACAAGAUAUUGACAAAAAUUCCUUUUAGUUUCAGUUUGGUAAUGGGAAUAGAAAAAUCAUGGGAAGAAAGAGAAUUUCAAAAGGAUGGUGCUGCAAAAAAGACAGAUGUGCCAGGCUAUCCAGUGUUAUACCAGGAACAGAAGGUUUCCAGUUCACAACAACCAUGGAGAGGAACUUUGUUGAAAUUGGACUAGAGAACCUUCAAGUGAGAUGUUUAGUAGUUAGUGGAGCUUCUUUUAACUGUAUCAGCCAACAUCAGUUGUAUCGUCUAAACACCACUACAGCGAUACAGAAAUCAACAAUCAGUAGUGCAAUAGGUGUCUUUGGAGAAGUGCAUGCAAUAAUCGGAGAAAUAGUGCUUCAACUUUCUUUUGGACAUCUUAGUAGAAAUUCAUAAUUUUUUAACAUAACUUGCUAGAGCUUAUUUAUUGGAUUAAACUUUUUGUGAAACAACAAAGCAAAAACAGACUAAAAGAACAGAACUUUGACAUUACCAACUCAGAUCAUUAAGACAUUAGUGAAUAUCAUGAUGGUGCUUAUCAUGUUACCAUAGCAACCUUCCAAGACAGUAGUACAUAGAAAACAAUCAGUUUCUAUCUUUUUUUUGUAGUUCUAGGAAUAAGUAGGAGUGCACACCUGUUGAUUCUUUUUAUACGACCGCAAAAAAAAUUUUGUGGUCGUAUAUUGGUAUGACGUUGGCGUCGUCGUCGUCGUACGGGGUCGUCGUCGUCGUCGUCGUCGUCCGGCGUCGUCUGGCGUCGUCCGAAGACACAUUGGUUUUCGCACUCUAACUUUAGUUUAAGUGAAUGGAUCUUUAUGAAAUUUUACCACAAGGUUCAAUACCACAAAAGGAAGGUUGUGAUUGAUUUUGGGGGUUAUGGUAAUAACAGUAAAGGAAUUAGGGGCCAAAAAGGGGCCAAAAAUAAGCAUUUUUGUAACUUCCAGACAUAACUUGUGUGUUAGUGUAUGGAUCUCUCUGACAUUGUACCACAAGGUUCCAUAUCACUAAAGGAAUGCUGGGAUUGAUUUUGGGGGUAAUUGCCUCCAAAUUUUAGGAAUUAGGGGCCAAAAAAGGGGCAAAAAACAAGCAUUUUUCUAGUUUCAUGACAAUAACUUGUGUGUAAGUGUAUGGAUCUUUCUGAAAUUGUACUACAAGGUUCCAUAUCACAAAGGGAAAGCUGGGUUUGAGUUUGGGGGUAAUUGCCCUAAACGUUUAGGAAUUAGGGGCCAAAAAGGGGCCAAAAAACACAUUUUUUUCUAGUUUCCAGACAAUAACUUGUGUUCAAGUGUAUGGAUCUCUCUGAAAUUGUACUGCAAGGUACCAUACCACAAAGGGAAGGCUGGGAUUGAGUUUGGGGGUGAUGAAUCAUAAUGGGGGUUCAAAAAAUUUUGGGGGGGGAUUUAUUUUUUUUUCCUUUUUUUUCUUUUUUUCCUUUUUUGUUUCUUUUAAAAUUUUCCAUUUUAAGUUGGUUAUUUCUGAUUUAUAUUUAAAAUCAAAUAAUAAUGAUAUGGUAGGAGAUACACACCAAACAGGAUGUGUAAAUUAUUAUAUAAUAAGUAUUGUGCAAUAGCAAGAAAUUUUCAAUUGCACAGUAUUGCACAAUAGCAAGAAAUCUUCAAUUGCACAGUAUUGCGCAAUAGCAAGAAAUCUUCAAUUGCACAGUAUUGCGCAAUAGCAAGAAAUAUCCAAUAGCACAAUAUUGCGCAAUAGCAAGAAAUUGUCAAUUGUACAGUAUUACGCAAUAGCAAGAAAUAUUUAAUAGCACAGGAUUGUGCAAAAGAAGAUACUUCCUAUAAAUUGCUUAUUUCUUGACCAAUUUCAAUGGGGUUUUAUUCUUGAUUUCAUGGGGUUCUUUAAUAUGCUGAAUCUAACCGUGUAUUUAGUUUUUGGAUUUUGGGCCCCGUUUUUAAAUUGGUUCACAUUGAGGUCCAAAGGGUCCAAAAUUAAACUUUGUUUGAUUUCAUCAAAAAUUGAAUUAUUGGGGUUCUUUGAUAUGCCGAAUCUAACCGUGUAUUUAGAUUCUUAAUUUUUGGUUCCGUUUUCAAAUUGGUCUACAUUAAGGUCCAAAGGGUCCAAAAUUAAACUUAGUUUGAUUUUAACAAAAAUUGAAUUCUUAGGGUUCUUUGAUAUGCUGAAUCUAAACAUGUAUUUAGAUUUUUGAUUAUGGGCCCAGUUUUCAAGUUGGUCCAAAUCGGGGUCCAAAAUUAAACUUUGUUUGAUUUCAACAAAAAUUGAAUAUAUGGGGUUCUUUGAUAUGCUGAAUCUAACCAUGUAUUUAGAUUUUUGAUUUUUGGGCCCCGUUAUCAACUUUGUCCACAUUGAGGUCAAAAGGGUUCAAAAUUAAACUUUGUUUGAUUUCAUCAAAAAUUGAAUUAUUGGGGUUCUUUGAUAUGCCGAAUCUAACCGUGUAUUUAGAUUCUUAAUUUUUGGUUUCGUUUUCAAAUUGGUCUACAUUAAGGUCCAAAGGGUCCAAAAUUAAACUUAGUUUGAUUUUAACAAAAAUUGAAUUCUUAGGGUUCUUUGAUAUGCUGAAUCUAAACAUGUAUUUAGAUUUUUGAUUAUGGGCCCAGUUUUCAAGUUGGUCCAAAUCGGGGUCCAAAAUUAAACUUUGUUUGAUUUCAACAAAAAUUGAAUAUAUGGGGUUCUUUGAUAUGCUGAAUCUAACCAUGUAUUUAGAUUUUUGAUUUUUGGGCCCCGUUAUCAACUUUGUCCACAUUGAGGUCAAAAGGGUCCAAAAUUAAACUUUGUUUGAUUUCAUCAAAAAUUGAAUUAUUGGGGUUCUUUGAUAUGCCGAAUCUAACCGUGUAUUUAGAUUCUUAAUUUUUGGUUUCGUUUUCAAAUUGGUCUACAUUAAGGUCCAAAGGGUCCAAAAUUAAACUUAGUUUGAUUUUAACAAAAAUUGAAUUCUUAGGGUUCUUUGAUAUGCUGAAUCUAAACAUGUAUUUAGAUUUUUGAUUAUGGGCCCAGUUUUCAAGUUGGUCCAAAUCGGGGUCCAAAAUUAAACUUUGUUUGAUUUCAACAAAAAUUGAAUAUAUGGGGUUCUUUGAUAUGCUGAAUCUAACCAUGUAUUUAGAUUUUUGAUUUUUGGGCCCCGUUAUCAACUUUGUCCACAUUGAGGUCAAAAGGGUCCAAAAUUAAACUUUGUUUGAUUUCAUCAAAAAUUGAAUUCUUGGGGUUCUUUGAUAUGCUGAAUCUAACCAUGUAUUUAGAUUUUGGAUAUUGGACCAUAAUAGGUGAAUGUCCAAUUUAAAAUUUUUAAGUUCUUAGACCACAUUCAAUCUGUGUUAGAAACCUAUGCUGUGUCAAAUAUUUAAUCACAAUCCAAAUCCAAAGCUGUAUCAAGCUUGAAUGUUGUGUCCAUACUUCCCCCAACUGUUCAGGGUUCGACCUCUGCGGUCGUAUCAAGCUGCGCCCUGCAGAGCAUUUUAUUACUACAUCAAUUUGAAUUUUGGAUUACAGGGAUAUUAUAUUAUAAUUCAUCUGUUAAAUUCCCUUACAAGGAAUACAGGUUGCUGGAAGCUAGCACGUUGAAAUAAAUUGUUGGUAUAUUUAUUUUUUGGCACCAGGUUAUAGUUUGUAGUGUCAGAGUGUAUUCAGAUUUUUAUAGGUGUUACUAAUGUGAAUGUUUAUAUCAUGUUUGGGGACAAACAUAUAAGAGUAGGGGGGAAUAUGUCAUGGUGUGUUAUUUGGCUUAUAUUUGUGUUAGUGUUAUUUUGGAUAAAAAAUAUGUUUUAUUUUAAGAAAGAAAAUUUUAUAUUUGUAUUUUGUAAAAUUUUUAAUUAAUUUUGGUUUAAUUGAUUUUACCUAUGCUGUGGCAUUAAUACUCAAAAUGUCACAGUUUGCUCAAAGCACUUUGUUUUUAAAAUAUUAAUUGUAAUUAGCAUAUGUCAUUUUGAAAGUUUAAGAUUUUAUCAAAACAUUAUAGGAUUAGGCUUUGUUAAUUAAAGUCUAUUUUUGCUAAUGAGAGUAAUAUUAACAUGUCGAGAUAUAUUUAUUUAUUUUUGGAUUUAGUAUAAAUAUCGUUGUGAAAUUUAGGAAAGGCAGUCACCUUUCGGAAACCUAAACUUGCACUGCUAAAGUCUACUAUACUGGAUCUGUAAGACUGUUGAUCAGUCUACCAGUUGACUUUGUAGUGUUAGACAAAAAUGUUAUUUUUGACUCACCUUUUAUUUUUGAUAAUUUUUUAGAAAACAGUCAGUGUUUCGGAACCGUAACCUCUCACUACUCACGUCAUGAUACUGGACCUACAAGACUGUCUACCAGUCUACCAGUUGACUGUGUAGUGUUGAGACAAAAUUUAUCUCUGACUCAUAAUUUAACUUUGGAAAAUACUUUUGGGAAUCUUUUAUUUUUGAGACUUUUACAUUUUGAUUUUGAGAUUAAGUUCAUUUUAUGAUUUAUUAGUUUUGGCAUUUAUUUUACAUUUUACAUUGUAAGGAGAAAUAGUUUUACUUUAGAGUUGAUAUUUAGAUUUUUUACUUUGUACUUUAAUUAUUAUUAUUAUUUGGCAUUGUUUACUAAUUGAUUGUUAUCAUCAUUCAUCUAAAUUGUUAUCGUUAAUUAAAUUAUGAAAACCUUC